UUGUCUGGAAUCUAGAUAGGAAACGACACUUUCCUUUUUUUUUUCUUUUUUUUUCUUAAAGCUGAACAUCUCCGAUCAAUCAACUUCGUCAAGCUUUCCAUGUUGAUUCCAGAAAAUUAGUUCUCUAUUUCAAUCUGUAUCCUUUUAAUCUUUCCAUAAAUCUGUUUUUUGGAGAGCUAUUCAAGGGUCAAAUAACGAUUGUUGUAAAAAAGUGGUGCUUUUCCAUUUUGUUUUAAUCAGCUAUCUAUCAGCAAUUAAUCAAGUGAGAGACAACAUCUGCCCAAUACUCGUAGUAUAUACCAAUCAUAUCACGGGGGAAUCAUCGAUUGUUACAGAUAAAAAUUACAAUCAGAUCGGUUUAUGUUAUAUCCUGAAAGAUCGAAUUUCUGGAAACGAUCAGGUAAAAUUUGCCUAUACACCUACUGGAAACUUCAGCCUUCGAGACUUUCAUCACGCUGUUAACAUCUUGCCUUUGGAUGCAUUUGUACCUGAGAUCGAUGAAUCGGGAGCCAUGUCUUGCGGAGGUGACCUGUUUGACAUCACAUAAUAUUGCUGAGCAAAAUUCUAGGAAGAUUCAUCAUGAUUGACAAAAUUCGUUUCGACCUUAGUUUUGAAAGGACAGAAUUGCAUUGCCAGAAGAGUGACAAUCUUUUAUGAUACACAAUUCUCAUACAAAAUAAAAGAUUUGAGGUAAACACCAAUUCUCAUGUGUACCUAUUUUUUUUGGAGUACCCCUGUUUCCUGUUGGAUAGAUUGAUUCUUCUAGAUGAACAGGAGAUAAUUUAGUUAAAUCUGUAAAAAGCCUUCCAAAAAUCCCUUUCACAUUGACACUAUCAACUUUUUCUUGAGUAGCAUGAGAAUUCUCAUUCACGAACACAUUAUCACUGGUAGUAGGCUCAGUAGGACACUUCCUCUUACUCUGUCGAUUUCCACAAUCAAAUCCAUUUCCUGACAAAUCUCUCUUAUUCCUCAUCCGUCACUUUCUUUUUCUUGCUAUCUAUCUCAUUAAAAAUAGUUGAAGGAAUAACUAACAAAUCCUAUAUGCAUUUUGAACGUAAAUGAAGGAAUAAUUUUCUGUAAUUGAGGAUCGAUGUAGACAUAAAUAAAAUCAUAGUAUGGAAAGAUUUUCGCUGUCUUGUUAGUGAUUUUCUUGUUUCUGAAAUGGUAAUAAUAUUUUCAUUUAAGUUAUUUAAUGUAUCAUAUAUUUAAGAGUAUCCCAUUUUUUCUUUAGACUAUAUUGAUACGAAUAUGGUAUAGUAUUUAUUUGAGAAAAUUCAUCAAAUUUUUUGUAGAUAUUGUAAGGUACAAUUUUCUCAUAUUAAACGUAAGCCUAUAUUUUCAUUAUCAUAUACACCUACGAAAUUAUCCAGAUAAAAUAUUAUUAUUAUGCUUUUAUUGUUGUAAAACACUUGUGGACUCUAUAGACCGGCCCGCUCACAGUCCGUUAGGACAUGGCCUUUUGGCCCAUGUACCGGUCCGCGCAUGUACGGCCCAUCGGCUAUUGCUUUACGGCCCAUGGCCAUUGCUUUACGGCCCAUGGCCUAUCCUAUGUACUCGUUUGGUUUAUGGGCUUUAGCCUUUGUACUCCUAUUAUAUAUACUUGUAAACCUCGACAUUCAUCAAUAAGACUAAGAGAUUUCGCUCCCUAAA